rnacentral:rRNA from 1 species
AACGAACGCUGGCGGCAGGCUUAACACAUGCAAGUCGAACGGGUGCAGCAAUGCAUCAGUGGCAGACGGGUGAGUAACACGUGGGAACCUUCCUAGGGGUACGGAACAACUCAGGGAAACUUGAGCUAAUACCGUAUACGUCCGUGAGGAGAAAGAUUUAUCGCCCUUAGACGAGCCCGCGUCGGAUUAGCUAGUUGGUGGGGUAAUGGCCUACCAAGGCGACGAUCCGUAGCUGAUCUUAGAGGAUGAUCAGCCACACUGGGACUGAGACACGGCCCAGACUCCUACGGGAGGCAGCAGUGGGGAAUCUUGGACAAUGGGCGCAAGCCUGAUCCAGCCAUGCCGCGUGAGUGAAGAAGGUCUUCGGAUUGUAAGGCUCUUUUGCCAGGGACGAUAAUGACGGUACCUGGAGAAUAAGCCCCGGCAAACUUCGUGCCAGCCGCCGCUGUAACAC